UACGUAGGGUGCAAGCGUUAAUCGGAAUUGCUGGGCGUAAAGCGUGCGCAGGCGGCUUUGCAAGACAGAUGUGAAAUCCCCGGGCUUAACCUGGGAACUGCAUUUGUGACUGCAAGGCUGGAGUGCGGCAGAGGGGGAUGGAAUUCCGCGUGUAGCAGUGAAAUGCGUAGAUAUGCGGAGGAACACCGAUGGCGAAGGCAAUCCCCUGGGCCUGCACUGACGCUCAUGCACGAAAGCGUGGGGAGCAAACAGG
rnacentral:rRNA from 1 species